GGGCGAGUGGCGGAACUGGCAGACGCGAUAGACUUAAAAUCUAUUGAGAGCAAUCUCGUGAGGGUUCGACCCCCUCCCCGCCCA
rnacentral:tRNA from 1 species